rnacentral:rRNA from 1 species
UACGUAGGGGGCAAGCGUUGUCCGGAAUCAUUGGGCGUAAAGCGCGUGUAGGCGGCUCGAUAAGUCUGCUGUGAAAGUCCAAGGCUCAACCUUGGGAUGCCGGUGGAUACUGUCGAGCUCGAGUCCGGAAGAGGAGUGUGGAAUUCCUGGUGUAGUGGUGAAAUGCGUAGAGAUCGGGAGGAACACCUGUGGCGAAGGCGGCCGACUGGGCCGACCCUGACGCUGAGGCGCGAAGGCGUGGGGAGCGAACGGG